rnacentral:lncRNA from 1 species
GAGCAACCAGGCACAGCCCCUGCUGCGGAACCUCCCCCCAACUCCUCCCCUCUUCUGUGCCUUCUGGAACAGAGAGUAUUGCCAGAAAGAGAGUACUGGAAGGGCGAUUCUGCUGGUUCUUAGAAGUAACUUUGACGCCAACCCUUACUACUUACAGCUCUGAAAUGAGAAAGACGGUGAUGUAGGCGUUACUGGUUGUGAGGAUGGAAUUACACGGACUGCAGAAAUGCACAAUGAAUCCCCUACUUUAAAAAUGCUCGGUGAAGAGGAGACCACUGGGGAGUAAAAUGCAGUGUGAUGUGAGCAGCAGUGGAGAUGGGCGUGGACCGGCAGAGGAAGGAGUGAAGGAUUCACAUCUCAUAGGCUGCGGAGGCUUCCAGAAAUACCACCUGUUCCAGGUAUUCCAUACAACAGAUCCAGGUCAGAGUCUGUCACAAGGAAGCUGUUGGCCAGCCUGCCAAGGAGGAGGAAACACGAAGCUCUCGGUCCACCUGCGUUCUCUGUGAGGGAGCCUCCUACGGCACUGUUAUCUGUGGCACAGAUGGCAUUUUCAAACACAAAGUCACCACACUGUCUGAUCUUUGCCAAUACAAGGUUGCCAACAAGAUGUCAAGAGAGAAGGAAAAUCUACAAUGAAACUGUGAAGGAAAAAAAAAACCCUAAGAUGUUAUAAAAGUACAUUGUAACUGCAGUGGGAGUGGAAUUGACCGAGUGCAAACGCAGGGUGACCUCUGCAAGCUCGCAGCGCCAACGCGGGAACCCCAGCAUGGUCUGGCUGCAGAGUCUGUCUGAUUGUCCAA